GCACUGCUGACGAGUACCAAACAGGACGAAACAGCUGUCCAAUGC
rnacentral:hammerhead_ribozyme from 1 species